rnacentral:rRNA from 1 species
UACGUAGGGUGCGAGCGUUGUCCGGAAUUAUUGGGCGUAAAGGGCUCGUAGGCGGUUUGUCGCGUCGGGAGUGAAAACCAGGUGCUUAACACCUGGCUUGCUUUCGAUACGGGCAGACUAGAGGUAUGCAGGGGAGAACGGAAUUCCUGGUGUAGCGGUGAAAUGCGCAGAUAUCAGGAGGAACACCGGUGGCGAAGGCGGUUCUCUGGGCAUGACCUGACGCUGAGGGACGAAAGCUAGGGGAGCGAAUGGG